AAGUACACUGAAGUAUAUGAUACGAUUUGCCUGGGCAGUACACACACCUGAUGAAGGGAAGAAAAGAUAACGUUACCCAGGCACCCAAACUCCAUCAGUAGUUGCUGGGAAGUGCACUUGCGAACGCACAUGGACACUUGCGGCGAGGAGCUAGGAUCGAGUAUAGCAUAGAGAAACACAAGCAAGUGUCAAGUUUAAACAGCUUGUCCUUUUAGAAAGUUUAAGAGAAGCGGUGUUUUGGUAGGCGUGCAGCGCAGUUCCAGACGUUCACAGAGGCUGCGCGUGCCGCCCGCGUGCUUCUCUAGUAACGAAAGCAGAACUAACAAAGGCGGAGCUACCAAUACUCCGUUCACCCAUGUCCCGUUUAUCACCGGGAACAAUCAGUAGUUUUAGCAGCAUUCAGUACAAACGGAAAUCUUAUCCAGUAUUACAUUUAGUCGGUCUAAAACAGUGAUUGUGCAUCAAAAGGUUUCAACCAUGUCAGUACGCAAAUAAGCGUUCUAAACUUAUUUACAGAGCGCAUUUUUUAUUUUGGUCGCUCACUUGCGCACCACUUAUGUGCAUCCCUGUAUAUAAACACAAACAUACACAGCACACCUAAAGCGUAAGAAAGGAUCAUGCUCUAAUUUGUUUCAGAGGGACCAAUAGACAUGUUUUAAAAGCCUCAGGAAACUCCUUCACUGUGAGGUUUCUGCACUUUCCACUCCCUUUUCCUCAUGCUUGAUAAUAAAAUGUCCUUUUAUCUGUCUCUACACAGACUGAUACAUCCGCGAAGAUU